rnacentral:rRNA from 1 species
AUUGAACGCUGGCGGCAUGCUUUACACAUGCAAGUCGAACGGUAACAGGUCUUCGGAUGCUGACGAGUGGCGAACGGGUGAGUAAUGUAUCGGAACGUGCCCAGUAGUGGGGAGUAACUACUCGAAGAGUGGCUAAUACCGCAUGAGAACUGAGGUUGAAAGACGGGGGACCGUUCGGGCCGUCGCGCUACCGGAGCGGCCGAUAUCAGAUUAGGUAGUUGGUGGGGUAAAGGGACUACCAAGCCGACGAUCUGUAGCUGGUCUGAGAGGACGACCAGCCACACUGGAACUGAGACACGGU